rnacentral:misc_RNA from 1 species
GUGAAUCAUCGAAUCUUUGAACGCAAAUUGCGCCUUUUUCGGAAGGCAUGUCCGUUUGAGGGCAACAUUUAACAAAUAAUGUGACUUUCGUGUGCACACGUUGAUGAGCUUUCCAAAAUUAUGUAUUAUUAUUUUUGGUGGCGCAUAAUAAACAGAGCGAUGCUUUUUUUCAGUUCGAGUGCAGUAAAAUUUUUUCUUGCUUGGGUUGUGAAAAGCGUGACCGCGCAAUGGGUGUGGCGCUCUUACUAACACUGACCCGACGCCACUC